rnacentral:lncRNA from 1 species
AUGAGAAACCCGAGAAGGCAGAAGGUAUGUGGGCUGCUGUGCAAAGAAGAAAGAUGGGGAACAGAAGCAUGCAGAGCAUCCACACAUGGUGAUGAUCCCCUCACUCUCUUCCCCCAUGACUGGGGUGGGCAUGAGGUUGGACAGCCCAGCCUACCCUGGAGGACAUCCCUACUUUUAACCUGCAGAUGUGGCAGGUGGUCUGUGGACAGGUGGUUUGGCGUUUUGGUCUGCUUCCCAUCCUGGUCAGAUCCACUAGCAUCAGCAGUAGCCCUGCAUUCCCAUGACCUUCAGCUCUGCCCUGACUGUCGCUCUGUGUUCUCAUCACCCAAUACUUGAUAAUGUAUGGGUAAUUUAGGAAGCGAUCUGGUUUGCUGAUCUUCUCUAGUUCCUGUUGCUUCAUCUAAAUGGAAAUAAGUGCCAAAAAGAAAGGAAGACUCACGCUGUAUGAUUGCAACCCCACAAGUUUCCAGUUAAUAAAGAAUAUUUGCUAUUAAGAUUUUUGUUCUCCUGCUUCCUUUUCACACUUUGCAAAGAAGUCAGUACCUGGUGGGCUACAAAGUGACUUUCCCAUUUUCAUUUAUAUUGUAUAUUUUAAAAUUCUUUAAUAUCUUCCACUUUAGUAAAGUACUUUUUGUGAAUAUUUUAGUAAGAGGUUCUUUUCCAUACUUGUUUUGCAC